rnacentral:rRNA from 1 species
CGUGGGUAACCUGCCCAAUAGAUCGGGAUAACACCUGGAAACAGAUGCUAAUACCGGAUAACAACAGAUGAUGCCUAUCAACUGUUUAAAAGAUGGUUCUGCUAUCACUCUUGGAUGGACCUGCGGUGCAUUAGCUAGUUGGUAGGGUAACGGCCUACCAAGGCGAUGAUGCAUAGCCGAGUUGAGAGACUGAUCGGCCACAUUGGGACUGAGACACGGCCCAAACUCCUACGGGAGGCAGCAGGA